rnacentral:pre_miRNA from 1 species
AAUAAGUGCAGUUUUGCAUUUUUCAUAUCCAAUGUUUGACUGUUCGUCUUAUUUAAAAUGUUUUUAUAGAAUAAGAAUAUUUUAAAUGGUAAUGGAGUGAUUAGACCUGGAUAGUGACCUUAAGGGGGAAUAAUUUUUUUAAUUUUUUCAAGAAAUUUUCCAAUUAAGCGGGUGGUUCAAACGUUAGACACCAGAUAUCCCCGGUUGCACUUAUU